AUCGCUGAAAACUGCCACAUAACUUGUAUAACUGCUGUAAGGCUUGGUUUUCAGCCAUAAGAUGGGAAGAGAAGUAACAUCUACCUUGCAGGAUGACUGCAAGCUGUAAAAUGCCACAAAGCGCAGGGGAGCCCAGAACCGCCGCAGCAGGACAGGUCCUCUGGAAGCAGACAGACCUGCCUUGUUACUUUAGCCAUCCAGAGUCCAGUUUAGCCAGUGAUGAAAUGAGUACAAAAGAACACCUUUCUUGUAGGAUUGCAAAAUGAUGUCUUCAUCCAUUCUGUGCUGCUAUAGCAGACUCCUGCACACUGGGUAACUGACAGCUUACAGAAGCUUGUUGGCUUAUGGUUCUGGAGGCUGGGAAGUCCAACCUCAAGGGGCUGCAUCUGGUGAGGGCUUUCUUGUUGCAUCAUCACAUCGCAGAAUAGCAGAAGGGCAAGGAGAGAGAGAGAAAAGAGUGCUGAACCCACCCUUUGAUAAGAAGCCCACUCCCAUGAUAAUAGCACCAGCCCAUUCAGGAGGGCAAAGCCCUCGUGGCUGCAUCGCCUCUCAAAGGUUCCACCUCUCAAGAUCAUCACAAUGACAAUCAAACUUCAUGAAUUUUGGAGGGGACAAUUAUUCAAACCAGAACAGAGGGGGAUGGCAAAUGUUCUGAAAACAAGCCUAGAAAUUGAUCUUAGAAAUGGUGCAAAAGUAGAUUUCCCCUUCUGUCUUUACCUGUGAUGGUCUAACCCCAAAAGCCUCCCAGAACAGAACUUGUGAGCACAAGAUAGAAACAACAAACUUGAUGCAGAGCUGAGCUCACAAGGAGGUCAGGGAUGUGACAGGAACCAGAGACAAACAGAAGGCUGAAAACCAGGUCUUAAAGUGUGAGAGCCAAAGGGCAGCAGCCCAGGAGAGUGUUCGUCUGGAGCCCCGGGGUUUAAGUCUCCACACUCACAUGGGAAAGGAGACGAGGCCUCCCUGGAUCCACGUGAAUCAGGAACUGGAACAAGGGCACUCAAAGGGCUACGCCAUCAGGAGAGAUGUGAAUGAGUGUGCCCACAGGAACAGGAAGACAACAGGAUGGUUCUGUGUUUGCCUGCCUGUUGUGGUUCUGUGAGACAGAAACAGUUUUGAUGACAAUUGAUAAUCAGGACUCAGAGCCUUGUUAGACUUCAGGUAUUGAAUUUUUUUUUGAGACAGGGUCUAGCUGUGUUGCCCAGGCUGGUCUUGAACUCCUGGGCCCAAGUGAUCCUCCUACCUUGGCCUCCCAAAGUGCUGGGAUUACAGGCAUGAGCUACCGUGCCCAGCCUAGGUAUCGAAUUUUCACAGGUUUCACAGUCCAGGCCCUACCACCCCUGCAGCAAAUAACUUGAUAUAAAACCUGGGCCCAGGCUAGUAAUACCCUUGAAGCCCAUGACAGAAGCAGGCACAGUGAUAGAAGCAAAAUCACGUAGACAUUAUCAAUCUAGCCCCCUCCAAUUCCUACCCAUAAAGCCCACUGAAGAUGAAUUUACAAUCAUAAAGUACAAAACAUGCCAAGAAAGAACCACAUGAGGGAAGUCAGCAGAUGUGUGAACAGCAGGAACGGACUCCGCCACCAAAGGCCUUCAAAAGAACCAGCUGGAACCCUCUGGAAAGUUCCAGAACCACCAGCAUCAGGGUGGCCAAGACGUGGGCACUGCCAGACAGGGGACCAUGUGGGGCCAGAAGAAAUUAUAGGACAUAGCAGGUCUCAGACAUGACCAGAGACUGCUGCCAGUGGUGGAAGGCUUCCCUGAGCGUGAUGACCUGGCCACUCCACAGGAAGCCUCCACACCCAAGGUUAAAGGUGUCCAGCUGCGGCCAGGGUUCCGGGGUACCUGUGGAUCCCGUGACGUGGCACCGAAGAUCUGAGCUGUGCAGAGGAGCUGCACCACAGAGGCCAGGUUUCCGUGUGGAGAACGCGCAUAAUGGGAGGCCUUGAGCUGAGACCCAGCCCCCGACCCCCACCCCCACCCACCAGCAGGGGAUUCUCCUCAGGGCCUCACAGAGCACCACGUGGUGUCAUUGCUGGUCCUGCCAUAGCUCCCAGGACCAAUGCUUCCCAGAACUCCCUGCUACAUAAAUACAUCCGGUCCCUUUCCCUCGAGAUCUUGAAAAGUGAAGACUUCACUUGGCAGUAACGGUAAAACAUUUCAACAUGGUAAGUUGUCAUUUUAUGCACACAUGGAAUGGUGGCCCAUAAAGGGCCUGGGGGUCCAAUAUCCUACAUACUGGACUCCUCAUUAGUCCUCUGAGUCUUCUGUUCCCCAACACACUGCAUUGGGAUCAAACUGAAUUUGCAGCCAGGCAUCAUAGCUCAUGCCUGUAAUUCCAGCACUUUGGGAGGCUGAGAUAGAGGAUCACUUGAGGCCAGGAGUCCAAGACCAGCCUGGGGAACAUAACGAGACCUUGCCUCUAAAAAAAAAAUUUUAAAAAUUAGCCUGGUGUAGUGGGCAUGCCUAUAGUCUUAGCUACUAGGGAGGCUGAGGUAGGAGGAUCACUUGAGCCCAGGAGUUCAAAGUUAUAGUGAGCUAAGAGUGCAUCACAGCACUCCAGCCCGGGCAACAGAGCAAGACCCUGAUUCUAAACACACCUAUACACACACACACACACACCCCACCACCAACAACAAUGAAAAACCCUGAAUUUACAUCCUUCACGAUAAAGUGAUAGCUUCUGUGACAUUUGCACAGAAUUCUGAGUAAAGUUGCCUUUUCAGUCACAUCUGUUAAUGUUGACAAGACAUAAUCUAAAAAUCAAGAGGAUGAGAAUAGAAGGACCACUUCCCUUCUAGUGACCUCCUGGACCACACCAAGCACCAACAUCAUGAGGAUCCAAGGAAUCUCUGGAAAGUUCUAUCUCCAGAAGAUACCCUGAGAACACUUAGGCCCUCCCAGACCACAUGAAGAACCAACGUCAUAAGGAUCCAAGGCAUCCCUGGAAAGUUCCUUCUCCAGAAGAAGGAUCCAAGGCAUCUCUGGAAAGUUCCAUCUCCAGAAGAUUCCCUGAGAACACUUAGGCCCUCCCAGACCACACCAAGCACCAACAUCAUGAGGAUCCAAGGCGUCCCUGGAAAGUUCCCUCUCCAGAAGAUUCCCUGAGAAGACUUAGGCAUGAUCUUAAAUAAAUAUUCCUGUUGUUUAAAAGGCCUUAAAUUCCUCAUAUUUAAGCUGUUGGGAGUCCCUUGCAAUUCCAUAUACACUUGAGAAUCUACUUUUAUUUCUUUGAACAGGGCUGUUGGAAUUUUGAUAGGCAUUGUGUUGAAUCUGUAGAUCACUUUGGGUAGUAUUGACAUCUUAACAAUAUUAAGUCUUCCUAUCCAUGAAUAUGGGAUGUCUUUCCAUUUAUUUAGGUGUUCUUUAAUUUCUUUUAGCAAUCUUUUCUAUUUUCAGCAUACGAGUCUUUCACCUCCUUGGUUAGACUUAUUUCUGAGUAUUUAAUUCUUUUAGAUCUUGUUGUAAAUGGCAUUGUUUACUUAAUUUCCUGUUUGAAUUGUUCAAUACUGAUGCACAGAAACAAAUGAAUUUUGCGUGUUGGUCUUGAUGUGUUGAUCUUGUAACUUUGCUGAAUUUGUUUAUGAGCUAUUGUACCUUCUUGUGGGUUCUUUUGGAUUUUCUAUAUGUAGGAUUAUGUCAUCUUCAAAUAGAGAUCGUUUUACCACUUCC
rnacentral:lncRNA from 1 species